AUUGAACGCUGGCGGCAGGCCUAACACAUGCAAGUCGAACGCAUCCUUCGGGGUGAGUGGCAGACGGGUGAGUAACGCGUGGGAACGUGCCCUUCAGUUCGGAAUAACCCAGGGAAACUUGGGCUAAUACCGGAUACGUGCGAGAGCAGAAAGAUUUAUCGCUGAAGGAUCGGCCCGCGUCUGAUUAGCUAGUUGGUGGGGUAAUGGCCCACCAAGGCGACGAUCAGUAGCUGGUCUGAGAGGAUGAUCAGCCACAUUGGGACUGAGACACGGCCCAAACUCCUACGGGAGGCAGCAGUGGGGAAUAUUGGACAAUGGGCGCAAGCCUGAUCCAGCCAUGCCGCGUGAGUGAUGAAGGCCUUAGGGUUGUAAAGCUCUUUCGUCCGGGACGAUAAUGACGGUACCGGAAGAAGAAGCCCCGGCUAACUUCGUGCCAGCCGCCGCUGUAA
rnacentral:rRNA from 1 species